rnacentral:rRNA from 1 species
CACGUAGGCACCAAGCGUUGUCCGGAUUUAUUGGGUUUAAAGGGUGCGUAGGCGGCCCUGUAAGUCAGUGGUGAAAUACUCCAGCUUAACUGGAGGGGUGCCAUUGAUACUGCAGGGCUUGAGUACAGAUGAAGUAGGCGGAAUUGACGGUGUAGCGGUGAAAUGCAUAGAUAUCGUCAAGAACUCCGAUAGCGAAGGCAGCUUACUAAGCUGUAACUGACGCUGAGGCACGAAAGUGUGGGGAUCAAACAGG